AUUGAACGCUGGCGGCAUGCUUUACACAUGCAAGUCGAACGGGGUGAGGAGCUUGCUCCUCAUCUAGUGGCGAACGGGUGAGUAAUACAUCGGAACGUACCGUGUAGUGGGGAUAACGUAGCGAAAGUUACGCUAAUACCGCAUACGAUCCACGGAUGAAAGCAGGGGACCUUCGGGCCUUGUGCUAUACGAGCGGCCGAUGUCUGAUUAGCUAGUUGGUGGGGUAAAGGCCCACCAAGGCAACGAUCAGUAGCGGGUCUGAGAGGAUGAUCCGCCACACUGGGACUGAGACACGGCCCAGACCCCCUAACGGGAGGCAGCAGUGGGGAAUUUUGGACAAUGGGCGCAAGCCUGAUCCAGCCAUGCCGCGUGUCUG
rnacentral:rRNA from 1 species